AGUGGAGGUUAACAGAAUGACAGAUGGUGCAUGGUUGUCGUCAGCUCGUGUCGUGAGAUGUUCGGUUAAGUCCUGCAACGAGCGCAACCCUUAUCCUUAGUUACUACCAUUUAGUUGAGCACUCUAAGGAGACUGCCCGAGUAAUCGGGAGGAAGGUGGGGACGACGUCAAAUCAUCAUGCCUCUUACGAGUGGGGCUACACACGUGCUACAAUGGACGGUACAAAGAGAAGCGAAGUGGUGACAUGGAGCAAACCUCAAAAAACCGUUCUCAGUUCGGAUUGAAGUCUGCAACUCGACUUCAUGAAGUCGGAAUCGCUAGUAAUCGUAGAUCAGCUACGCUACGGUGAAUACGUUCUCGGGUCUUGUACACACCGCCCGACAAACCAUGGGAGCUGGUA
rnacentral:rRNA from 1 species